GAUGAACGCUAGCGGCAGGCUUAAUACAUGCAAGUCGUACGGGAUCCGAGGUAGCAAUACUUUGGUGAGAGUGGCGCACGGGUGCGUAACACGUAUGCAACCUACCUUUAACCGGGACACAACCUCGAGAAAUUGAGGCUAAUAUCCCAUAACACUGCGAGAUGGCAUCAUUUUGCAGUUAAAACUCCGGUGGUUAUUGAUGGGCAUGCGCGACAUUAGCUAGUUGGUGAGGUAACGGCCCACCAAGGCUACGAUGUCUAGGGGUUCUGAGAGGAUUAUCCCCCACACUGGUACUGAGACACGGACCAGACUCCUACGGGAGGCAGCAGUAAGGAAUAUUGGUCAAUGGGCGCAAGCCUGAACCAGCCAUGCCGCGUGAAGGAUGACGGCCCUAUGGGUUGUAAACUUCUUUUGUACGGGAAAAAACCACCGGUCGUGUAUCGGUGCUGAUGGUACCGUAAGAAUAAGCAUCGGCUAACUCCGUGC
rnacentral:rRNA from 1 species